AAUAUGCUGACGUCAGCCUGUUACGGCAUUGUUGUGAGGUGUUAUAGUGAAAGAAAUAUGUGCGUUAUACAGCUUUCUCCAUGUCUUUUUAUGUGAUAAAGUAUGAUAUGGUUUCAAGAAACUGGAAUCUGGAGUGGGCACAUCCUGUUACAGCACCACGUUCAAAUUCAUCAAGCUCUUUAGACCGAUCCAUUCUUUUACAAACAUGUGUAAAAGCACACGGCGUGGAUAGGUGUUUGAUUUUAUACACCUGUGGUAAUGGCACUGAACACACUCGAAUUCAAACGUUACUUUUGUCCAUAUCGUCUAUCUUGCUGUGGCAUUGAGAUCCAUCGAUCUGCGCUAGACUGUGAUUGUAUAAAAAAGACAAACUUUGUUGAGUUUGAUGAUGACCACUAUCAGGAGGCUGCUGCUAGAAAUGCUCUGCUGCUGCUUGGUUCCUUCCUGAAAUCAGAAUCAUGGAUGCCCUAAAGUGGCUCGUGAUGCUGUGCCACCCCUAAUUGUACAAUCAUAAUCCAUAACAUAUCUAAAAACUGAGCUACAUCAAUCCCACAUAGCAAAAUUGGUAUGGCCCAGAUCUGGCCCACACAAUGGGCUUACACAUGGCCCACAUACCGCAGAGAAUGACGGCCCUUUGGUUUGCCAGAGGUGGCACACAUGGGCCAGCACAAGGCCAGUUGCAGACACACUGUCAAGCCAUGUAAUAACAACAUGUGCUGGAACAUGGUAGCAUGAAAAGAAAUAUGACAAAACUCUGUUCAUACAGUGAAUGGACUAAUUCUGAUAUAGAGCUUUUCUACUUUCCCGGAUUACUCAUAGUGCUCUAUACAACCUGACGCAUUCACUCUGCCAUGACACCAGUUAGUCAGAAGUGCCAGCUUGAUGCCGGAUCCAGGGAAGACCUGUUUUCUAUGAGCCUGGGCCACAUACACCAAACCACAAUCGGGCCAGAUGUGGCAUGCCAUCACAUAAAUAGUGCCAUCUACACCAGGCCUGGCCCAUAUCUGAAUGACAUACCACUUACUAUGCCAGAAGUCAGCCAGCAGUGCCGGCUUGACACCAGAUCUGGCCCAGACCUGUCUGCUAUGUGGGAUGAUUUUAAGCCAUUCUGAAAUAAACCAACAAUGACAUAGAGCUUCAUAGAGCCCCAUUCAUUCUAAAUUAUUUCACAAGUAGUCCCUAUGAAACCAGAGCUCCCAUGAAUGGGAGUUCUCAGUGUUAUUAGAAUUUUUUCUUUUUUAAAUGUUCGGGAUUGACCAGUAAGUGUAAGUGCACAAACAUCAUUUCGCUCCUUACAGCAAUAAUAACGUUAAAUACAUUUUAUGAAAAGGUUUUUAUGCAGGACCAAGUCGAUAUGUUCUGUGAGCGGUGUUGUUCACAAAGCCCAAGCUGUAAUAAACUGGAAUUAUGCCUUAAAGAGAUGAACUUCACAGACUCACAGUUCAGAAUUUGCUCAGCUAAGAUCGUACCUCUUCCUCAUAUUGGCUGCAGAAAGCACUGACUGGCCAGUUUAUCAUUUAUGACAAAUCCAAUAACAUCCUUUAAUAUCCCCCCUGCUCAUGACCCCACAUCAUUGUGAGGUCCUCUGUGAGGGCAGGUUCUACUCAUCGUUUUGUCAUAUGAAAUUCAUUUCCUGUUAAACGCAGAGGCAGCCAUAUGAUUUUUUUUCUUUGUGUUACUGUUGUUGUUUUGUCAUUUCUCUCUGAGGAGGAAUGCCAGACCAUAAGGUGCACGACUGUCAGCCCUUCAGUGACCUGUGUACCACAGCAGACCUGUCCUCGUCUUCAAAAAGAACAAAACUGCAACAAAAAUAAAUCUUUGUGUUCUGCCGAGAAGCGACUAUUCUCUGCUUCUUCUUUUUAUAAACACGUUGGGUGAGAAUCGGGUACUGAGGGAUCGGUGGGGGUAUUUUUUUAUGUUUACAUCUUUUUAGCUUACGUAUUUAUUUUGUCCUUUUUUAUAUUAACUCUUCAGGUGCCAGUGUAAGAUUGCCUGUUCUCUGUCCCGACAGUGCUGAGCCCGAGUGUGUUGUGUGAGUUAAUGUGAGAUACCUGACAGGGUCCUGUUGUGCGAAACAAGAUUAAACUGACCUCGGAGUUCCACUUCUGUGACUGUUUCACUGCACGUGAUGAUUUAUCUUUGUUUGCUCCGUGUUUUGUAUCUUUUUGCUCAUUUGUCAUGUGAACGUGUUUUCAUGUUUUUGUUUGUUACUAUACCAAAAAUAUCAUUCUGUAAGUAUGUUUAUUAUGUGUUUUUGUUUUUUUUACCCUAGUACAGCGAUUUAUGUCUCUAUUUUUUUUAUCCAUUUUCCUUUUAAACUGGCCACACACCUGUAGUUCCUGAGGCUGUUUAAACCCACCCAGUAUUGUCAAGCAUUUAAUGUGGCAUUGUCCCCCAAUAAAAAGGACUCAGACAAACUCUUGCGCCAUGUCUUUACUUAUUGUUUUUUUUCCCUUUUGAUGGAGAUGUUUUUGGGACUUGUGACAACAUCCGUCGUUGCUCUGAUCAACAGUGUCGCUCUGGCAGGCAUCAGUUGUCAAAGGAGGUGUAAGCCCACCAGCCGUGGUCCUUCUUUGGGCUUUGGGCACAUGCCAUCUGAAGCAAUAAUAAAAACAUAAAUCGUAAUGUGCUUGGCUUUCCACACGGAG
ensembl:lncRNA